GAUGAACGCUGGCGGCGUGCCUAAUACAUGCAAGUCGAACGGAAAGGCGCGAAGUUUCCUGGUCACUCGAUUGGCGCACGGGUGAGUAUCACACGGGGGUAAUCUCCCUCUCUUCGUGGUAUACCUUCGAAACUGCGGCUCUUAUCCGAUAUGAUCUCUUUAAGGGCGUUGUGCAGGAGAGAAUUUCGGUGUUGGUUGAGCUUGUGGCUUAUUCGCGAGUUGGUGGGGUAAUGGCUUAGCAAGGGGACGACGCAUAGCCGACUUGAGAGGGUGUUCGGCCACACUGGAACUGAGACACGGUCCUGACUCUUACGGGCGGCAGCAGCAGGGAAGCGAGCGCGAUGUGCGAAAGCCUGACGGAGGAGCGCCGCGUUAGUGAUGAAGGUCUGCGUGGCGUAAAACUCUGUUAGGAUUGUAGACUACAUGCGCAAGUAACGAUGCACUAUGUGACGGUACCUGGAGAGAAAGCACCGGCUAACUACGUG
rnacentral:rRNA from 1 species